AACUAACGCUGGCGGCAUGCCUUACACAUGCAAGUCGAACGGCAGCGGGGGAGAAGCUUGCUUUUCCUGCCGGCGAGUGGCGAACGGGUGAGUAAUACAUCGGAACGUGCCCUGUAGUGGGGGAUAACUAGUCGAAAGAUUAGCUAAUACCGCAUACGACCUGAGGGUGAAAGUGGGGGACCGCAAGGCCUCAUGCUAUAGGAGCGGCCGAUGUCUGAUUAGCUAGUUGGUGGGGUAAAGGCCUACCAAGGCGACGAUCAGUAGCUGGUCUGAGAGGACGAUCAGCCACACUGGGACUGAGACACGGCCCAGACUCCUACGGGAGGCAGCAGUGGGGAAUUUUGGACAAUGGGCGAAAGCCUGAUCCAGCAAUGCCGCGUGUGUGAAGAAGGCCUUCGGGUUGUAAAGCACUUUUGUCCGGAAAGAAAUGGCUCUGGUUAAUACCUGGGGUCGAUGACGGUACCGGAAGAAUAAGGACCGGCUAACUACGUGCCAGCCGCCGCCGUAA
rnacentral:rRNA from 1 species